rnacentral:rRNA from 1 species
UACGUAGGGGGCGAGCGUUGUCCGGAAUCAUUGGGCGUAAAGCGCGUGUAGGCGGCUCGGUAAGUCUGCUGUGAAAGUCCAGGGCUCAACCCUGGGAUGCCGGUGGAUACUGUCGGGCUAGAGUGCGGAAGAGGCGAGUGGAAUUCCUGGUGUAGCGGUGAAAUGCGCAGAUAUCAGGAGGAACACCAAUUGCGAAGGCAGCUCGCUGGGACGUAACUGACGCUGAGACGCGAAAGCGUGGGGAGCAAACAGG